rnacentral:rRNA from 1 species
GACGAACGCUGGCGGCGUGCUUAACACAUGCAAGUCGAGCGGAAAGGCCACUUCGGUGGUCCUCGAGCGGCGAACGGGUGAGUAACACGUGAGUAAUCUGCCCUUGGCUUUGGGAUAGCCACCGGAAACGGUGAUUAAUACCGGAUACGACCACUCCAGGCAUCUGGUGGUGGUGGAAAGUUUUUCGGCCAGGGAUGUGCUCGCGGCCUAUCAGCUUGAUGGUGAGGUAAUGGCUCACCAUGGCUUCGACGGGUAGCCGGCCUGAGAGGGUGACCGGUCACACUGGGACUGAGACACGGCCCAGACUCCUACGGGAGGCAGCAGUGGGGAAUAUUGGACAAUGGGCGGAAGCCUGAUCCAGCAACGCCGCGUGAGGGAUGACGGCCUUCGGGUUGUAAACCUCUUUCGGUAGGGACGAAGCGCAAGUGACGGCACCUACUAAAGAAGCACCGGCCAACUACGUG